UACGUAGGGGGCAAGCGUUGUCCGGAAUCAUUGGGCGUAAAGCGCGUGUAGGCGGCUCGGUAAGUCUGCUGUGAAAGUCCAGGGCUCAACCCUGGGAUGCCGGUGGAUACUGUCGAGCUCGAGUCCGGAAGAGGCGAGUGGAAUUCCUGGUGUAGCGGUGAAAUGCGCAGAUAUCAGGAGGAACACCUAUUGCGAAGGCAGCUCGCUGGGACGUUACUGACGCUGAGACGCGAAAGCGUGGGGAGCAAACAGG
rnacentral:rRNA from 1 species